AGUGCUCCCCGCGCUGUUGCGCGUCACACCCGGCUCUCAAACACUGGCUCCGGGACACCGGCUACGCAACCACCCCCCUCCCGGUGACUGCUAGCCCAGGAACCCACGUUGGGGCAGCCCACGCACCACCCGGCGCCCAGGAUCUCCUCACCGGAAGUUGAUUUCUACCUAGGCCCGCCCAGGCCUGCGCGCGGCGCUCCAGGCAUCCGCGGACGCAUCACAUGACCCCCCAAAGAGGAGGCCAGCUGAGCCUCAUCUGAAGAGAGACCUGACCUGUGAAACAGAUUGACCUGAUAUACACUGCUCUGACCAUCCUCAAAAACUACAUCAUGCCUUAUCUUUUGUCCUGAGCCAAAACAAACUAUCCAACAGAUAUUCCUCCUAACAUAGAUUCAGCAGGCUAGGCCACAAGAAGAACCUCCUAGUUGAGUGUGAUUCUCAGAACUGGAAUCUACCACGAGAAGAGCCUUUGCCUCUUACGAGCAACCAAAAUGUGAGAACUGAAUAAAGCACCCGGCACUGUGACAUGCUCAAGAAAUGUUUGCCGUGAUGUCUGGACCUAUUGGCUUAGCGGAACUCUCAAGUUCCCGAACAUGCCUAAGCUGAAAGCUUCUCUAACCACUGGAUUUUGAAGAUCGGCAGCGCCAGGACUGUAGCACUUGUAAUCAACUCUAUCAUAGCAGUUCGUUCAUAUUCUACUAAAAACAGUUGAUUUUCAGCUGUUCGACAUCCUUAUAGCAAAGCUGUCAGUCAACACCUUUUCCUGAAGGGAA
rnacentral:lncRNA from 1 species